GACUUAGUUGCCCCGUGGCAUGUGGGAUCUUCCCAGACCAGGGAUCGAACCUGUGUCUCCUGCAUUGGUAGGUGAAUUCUUCACUGGUGAACCACCAGUGAAGCCCUGUGUGAGUUUUUAAACUCUAAGUUUAUGUGUUUGGGAAUUUCAUCUUUUGAAUUUUUUAAGCCCUGUAUUUGCAAUUUAUAUCUCCAGUGACUACUUGCUUUUGCUUCUGCCAAAUUUUAGGGAACUCUACCAACAUAGAAACACUUUAAAUUUUUUGCCUGAGGGUGGUAUGAGAUUGAGCUACCAGUUCAAGUGAGGGCCAGCUUGUGGGUAGGAAUUCCAAGGGGCGAUUUAGUGUUUACUUCUACCCAAUGACACAUUUUAUAAUAGGCCAUUUUCCUUGCUGUCCUCUGGAUUUAUUUCUAGUUCACAUAUACCGGGAAAGUUUAGGCCUGUGAGGUACCUGAUUUAUUAAGGCAUCUCCUAUCAGAUUGCUCAUCUUGGUCAGGUAGCUCCCAGGAUUUAUCUCCUUGUGACCUAUGAAUACAGAAACCCAAAUUCACCUCCAUGGGCAAAUGUCCUCAAAGUGAAAGCCAGAGUCAAAGUUCAGCUUACUUCUUUGGAUUCCUGUAUUUACUUAGUUUUUGGUUUCUGAGGGGCCUUAUUUUCUUGCUAAUAUGAGAUAUAGUUAAAAUAUUUUUCAUUAUUUUAAUUAUUUUCAGUGGCAUGGUGUCAUGAGUCACAUUACUGAAAAUGGAUUUUUUCCUAGUCCUUGAAAAUAAUUUAUUCCUAUAAUAAGUUUAGAUUGGCAUGAAAAAAAAUGAGAGGUUGCUUUAUGAAUAAUAGAUAGCAUAAAUAUAAGACCAGAGACUAGACAUUUAUUCAUUUAUUCACGCUCUUAUACAUAUUUACUGAGAAGUAUGUAAUGUGAGGUGCUAUGUUAAACUGCAGAAGCUGCCAGAAAGUAUAUUGAAAGGUCCUUGGAUUUCAAAGAUCACUUGAUCAUUUAUAGGUGUAAAUAAUAAAUUCAAUAAAGAUCAUAUAAACUAAAUGCUCAUACACAACUUGGGGGCUAAAACAAAUCAUUAUUUAAAAAGUGAUAUUUUAGCUUACUUUGUAGGAUAGACAGGGGGAGAUCGAUACCUGGAUGUUCAUUUCAGGUAAAUGACCAAAGAAUGUGAACAAAGGUGUAGAGAUAAAAAAAUCAUGGAGCAGCUGAGAUAAUUGCAUGUUAUCUCAUAAGCGACUGGAUCAUAAGCAAUUUCAAGGAAAUGGUUAAUGACAAGGAUUGAAAGUUAGGCUGAGGCCAGAACGAGAAGGGCUGUGAAUUCUAAGCCCUGUCAUUUGAGCUUAAAUUAGUGGGGGACUGAGAGUCAUUAAUAGAUGUAUUAACUUCUCAAUUUUAUACAGUUUAAAAUGUGUCAUUUAUGCGGGGCUAAUAGUAGAAUCAAGACUUAGCUAAAUUCAGGACUUCUCUGAGGGUCCAGUGGCUAAGACUCCAUGCUCCCAAUGCAGGGGAGCUGGGUUCGACCCCUAGGCAGGGAGCUGGAUCCCAUGCGCCACAACAAAGAUUUCACAUGCUGCAUGAAGAUUGAAGAUCCCACGUGCCACAACUAGACCUGGCCCUGUCAAAUAAAUAAAAUAUCCAAAAACAAAGAGUUAGCUAAACUCUAGCAAUUAUAAACAGGGGUAAACUAGAGUGAGAUGAAGAAUGGGGGUGUGAAACAAGUAAAAAUGUUGGUGUUUAUUCAGGGUGUCUGAUAUGAAUAAUCUUGAUUUCUGACAAUGGCUUAAUGUGGUUUAUAUAAUUACUUUCUUCCAUUGCUUAGGGAAAAAAAUUAUUUUCUGAAUAGGUUUGAAACCACAUCUUGGUUUUUCUUCCAUGAGUAACAUUCAUCUGAGUUGUAAUACUGAGGACACGAUAUUUAGAACCAAAUUUCCCCCCCUCAUUUUGAAGAGGAAGAACUGAGCUGGUUCCUGCUCUGUUUUGCUUAUUUUAUCUUACUUUUUAGGUUCUGAUGUUAUUUUAACAGAGCAUCUCUAUCAAUUUCUCAGGCCACUCCAUUUUAUUAAUAAGGAAAAGAAUCAUUAACUGUCAAUCAGGAUUUGUAGUAUCAAAAUUCAAGGUCUACUUUAUAAAUGCUAAGGAUCAGAAAAUUAUCAAAGGAACACUAAUAGGCAUACUGCAAAUGGCUAAUGUAAUUUUAAUUUCUGAACCAAGACGAAAAGUGAAAAGAUAUGUCUUUCUUUACUGUAGUACCAAAACCUCAUUAGGAUUUGGUCAGCAUGUGGGGAAGUGUAACAGCUGAGGCUUUCUCAGGCAAAAUACAUUAACAUUACAAAUGAAACUUGGUCUGAAUCUAUCUCAAGGAGCAUUUCAUCUCAGAGGUAUAGUAAGAAUUAUAUUAGCAGUGUAGUUAUUAAGCUCUGUUGAAUAAUUCUGUGUUUUAAAAAAAGAAAGUGACCUUUCGUAUCUCUCAAAGGGAUAAUAGCUCUACAGAUACAUUUAAAAUAAAGCUAAUUGGGACAGGACAAAAGAUUUACAAGAUUAUGUGAAGAAAUUUGGUAAUCAGUUGAAAAAUGCAAAGUAUCUUGAACAAAGCAUUUCAUAAUAUUAGACAGAUGUCCGACCUUUGUCAUUUCCUAAUCAAACAUCUUCAUCUUCUGUUACAGGUUGUAAAUGGGGAAUGGAGGCCAGGAAAAUACUGUUGAAAGUUUUCAGUUUUGCACGACUUUGAAACAUGGGCACAAUUUGUACCAUAGACUCAAUAGCUAGCAUAGCUAUUGUUUUUCUUCAGUUAUCUGAGUUACAUAUUUUUCAUGUUUUGACAUGUUGAAAUCUGGGUGUUUUCUGAAAGGCAGUGUCAAAAGAAACAUGCUGCAAUUCCUAUGCUUCUUAGUGGUCAUUAUCUUUGUGAAUAACAUUACAGUCAUAUGUGGUAGCAUUCAGAUGCCUAAAUUAACUUUAGUUUAAAUCUAUAAUAUUGCUUUAAAUGUUUUAAAGAGAGAUAUCAUUGUAAUACUGAAAGGAAAUGCUAUUUUUUUAAUGAAAAAUUUUUUUGUUUAAAAAUUUUCUAUUUUGUACUGAGGUAUAGGCAAUUAACAAUGUUGAGAUGGAUUUGGGUGAACAAUGAAGAGACUCAGCCAUAUAUAUACAAGGAAACAUUAUUUUAUACAAAGAAGAACUAUUAAAUGCCAAGUAGUGAAAUCAGAGGUAACAGAAAACUGCCAAAUCUACUGAAUAUAUCACAGCAUUUCAAAGCCAGGAAAGGUUCUAUGACAGAUUCGUGGCCUUAAAGGAUUAUUACUCAGGUGCCAAGCCUCUAUUUGUCAAAAGCUUCUGGAUGACUUUCAGGAGAAGAUAAUUUACUUAUAGUUAAUGGGUAAUUCAAUGAUGGAAAAAGUAAAACUAUCAGCUUAGCAAAAUAGGAAAUACAAACAAAAGUCUAAAAUUAUACUGCCAAUUGUAAAGAUGCCCAAGAGGUCAAGAUCACAAGCAUGGAUUAUAAAAAUCAAGUCACAAGAGUCAAAAAUCAACUCAGAAGACUAAGUGGGAAGGCACUGGAACUCAGAUAUCAUUUUAAUGGUGGAGAAAGUGCUGUCUCUAAUUACAUGAAUAAAAAUAUAGCAUCAUGAGAAUGAAAGCAACUGCAAAUACAUUUAAUUUACUGUUUUAUUUUGAAAACAUAACAAAUACUUAGAAACGCACGAAGAUCACUGAGAUCCAAGAUAGAUUUACUAUCUCUAAAUUAUUUCACACUAAUAUGAUUCUAUUUUGAUAGGGUUGUUAAGUUUGAGCUGGGAUGACAAGUCUGUAUUUCAGUAAGACACAACAAAUUGUGUUCUUGUGGACAAAAUGGAGAAAUAUGGCCCAGACUACAUAGUGUAUUAAAGGUUGAAUGACUGGCUGAUACGGUCUGUUCAUGCCUCCUGGCCUUAGAAUUAUGUGCUGAAAAACUCAAGGACCAAUCCUCUGCUUUUACAUUGAUUAACAAAUAAAUCAUGAGUGGCUCUGAAGGACAAUGAAGGGAACUCCUCCAGUGGGUACAAUCCUUAUGGUGAACUCUACCAGGAAGGUGACAUGAUGUCAGCUCUACACCAGCUCACAGGCAGAUGACAUGGGCAAGAUGACAUCUGAAGAAAAGAUAAAGAGGAGUCAGCCGGUCUGUGCACAGUGAAGAAUGGUGCAGAAUCUAAGCUUGUACCUUGGUAAUUCACUGAUAUUCUUUCCCCCCUUUCCCUUCAAAAACUCUCAUGGCUGAGCAGAAUCUGGGGAGUUGGUUCUGGCACAUGAGUCCUCCUUCUCUUCAGAUUGCCAGCCUUCUGAUUAAGGCAAACUUUUCUUUCUACCAACACUUGGCUCUCCAUUAUUGGCUUUUGAGUGGUGAGCAGCUGAACAUGAGUUUGGUAACAUUACUAAAUAAAAAAAAUACUAUACAUUUUAAAAAUAUUAACAGUCGCAUUUUUCUCUUUUACAAAAAUGGCAGAUACAUGAAGCAUUAUAAUUUAGAAAGUUAUGAAGUAAGUACUCAUAAACUGCUGAUAGCAACUGAUAAAAAUUUUUUUAAGGAAUUUGUGCACUACUCACCAAAACCUUUAAAAAUGCACAUGCUAUGUAAUCCAAUGAUUUCAAAUUUAGAAAAGCAUCAUAGAAAAUUAA